AUUGAACGCUGGCGGAAUGCUUUACACAUGCAAGUCGAACGGUAGAGGGGGCAACCCCUCGAGAGUGGCGAACGGGUGAGUAAUAUAUCGGAACGUGCCUAGUCGUGGGGGAUAACGUAGCGAAAGUUACGCUAAUACCGCAUACGAUCUACGGAUGAAAGCGGGGGAUCGCAAGACCUCGCGCGAUUGGAGCGGCCGAUAUCAGAUUAGGUAGUUGGUGGGGUAAAGGCUCACCAAGCCAACGAUCUGUAGCUGGUCUGAGAGGACGACCAGCCACACUGGAACUGAGACACGGUCCAGAAUCCUAAGGGAGGCAGCAGUGGGGAAUUUUGGACAAAGGACGCAAGUCUGAUCCAGCCAUACCGCGUGCAGGAUGAAGGCCCUCGGGUUGUAAACUGCUUUUGUACGGAACGAAAAGGUUUCCAUUAAUACUGGGAGCUCAUGACGGUACCGUAAGAAUAAGCACCGGCUAACUACGUGCCAGCCGCCGCCGUAA
rnacentral:rRNA from 1 species